rnacentral:rRNA from 1 species
AGGAAGCGAGAAGUCGACGCGCCGAAAGGCGUCCGGCCCUCCGCGAGCGCCCGCGGGGGUUCGGGUUACGGACCCGGUCCGAUCCCGUUCCCACCGAGGGGCUGUCCGCGCCAUGGAGGUGUCCUCGGACGGCGUCGAUUCUUUUCUCCGGUCCGCGACGCUGCGGCUUGGAUGGUCCACCCGACCCGUCUUGAAACACGGACCAAGGAGUCUAACAUGCGCGCGAGUCGUUGGGUCGGAAGCGCUCCGCUAAACCCAUAGGCGCAAUGAAAGUGAAGGCCGCCGUUCCGGCGGCCGAGGGAGGACGGGGCCGUUUUCGGUCGCUCCGGCGUCCGGCGGUCCCCGCACCCCCGGGGCGUCUGAUCCCUCACAGCGAGGGGAGGCGCACCCAGAGCGCACACGUUGGGACCCGAAAGAUGGUGAACUAUGCCUGGCCAGGACGAAGUCAGGGGAAACCCUGAUGGAGGUCCGUAGCGAUUCUGACGUGCAAAUCGAUCGUCGGAGCUGGGUAUAGGGGCGAAAGACUAAUCGAACCAUCUAGUAGCUGGUUCCCUCCGAAGUUUCCCUCAGGAUAGCUUGCGCUCGGAGGAGAGUCUCAUCCGGUAAAGCGAAUGAUUAGAGGCCUUGGGGCCGAAACGGCUUCAACCUAUUCUCAAACUUUAAAUGGGUGAGAGCUCCGGCUUGCUCGACUCGUCGAAGCCGGAGACGGGAUCGGAGUGCCUAGUGGGCCACUUUUGGUAAGCAGAACUGGCGCUGUGGGAUGAACCAAACGACGGGUUAAGGCGCCCGAAUCGACGCUCAUGGGAAACCAUGAAAGGUGUUGGUUGCUUAAGACAGCAGGACGGUGGCCAUGGAAGUCGGAAUCCGCUAAGGAGUGUGUAAUAACUCACCUGCCGAAGCAACUAGCCCUGAAAAUGGAUGGCGCUGAAGCGUCGUGCCUAUACCCGGCCGUCGCGGCGGGGCGGACCCGGCCUCGAGUCGGGUGCCGUUCGAUGCGGCGACGAGUAGGAGGGUCGCGGCGGCGCGCGCAGAAGGGUCUGGGCUCGAGCCUGCCUGGAGCCGCCGCCGGUGCAGAUCUUGGUGGUAGUAGCAAAUACUCCAGCGAGGCCCUGGAGGACUGAUGUGGAGAAGGGUUUCGUGUGAACAGCCGUUGCACACGAGUCAGUCGAUCCUAAGCCCUAGGAGAAAUCCGACGCCUACGGCGACGGGAUUAUUAUUGUUGAUCGAAACCCGUUGAUCGGGCGAAAGGGAAUCCGGUUCCUAUUCCGGAACCCGGCAGCGGAACCGCUGUUUGUCGGGCCCUCACAAGGGGUUCGUCAGGGUAACCUAAAAGGGCCCGGAGACGCCGUCGGGAGCCCCGGAAAGAGUUUUCUUUUCUGCAUGAGCGUUCGAGUUCCCUG